UACGUAGGGUGCAAGCGUUGUCCGGAAUUAUUGGGCGUAAAGAGCUCGUAGGCGGUCUGUCGCGUCUGCUGUGAAAACUCGGGGCUUAACCCCGGGCCUGCAGUGGGUACGGGCAGACUAGAGUGCGGUAGGGGAGACUGGAAUUCCUGGUGUAGCGGUGAAAUGCGCAGAUAUCAGGAGGAACACCGGUGGCGAAGGCGGGUCUCUGGGCCGUGACUGACGCUGAGGAGCGAAAGCGUGGGUAGCAAACAGG
rnacentral:rRNA from 1 species